rnacentral:rRNA from 1 species
UGCUUCAGACCUUAGUAGCGCAGCUAACGCGUGAAGUUGACSGCCUGGGGAGUACGGUCGCAAGAUUAAAACUCAAAGGAAUUGACGGGGACCCGCACAAGCGGUGGAUGAUGUGGAUUAAUUCGAUGCAACGCGAAAACCCUUCCCUACCCUUGACAUGUSUGGAAUCCCGAAGAGAUUUGGGAUGGCUCGCAAGAGAACCGGAACACAGGUGCUGCAUGGCUGUCGUCAGCUCGUGUCGUGAGAUGUUGGGUUAAGUCCCGCAACGAGCGCAACCCUUGUCAUUAGUUGCUACGAAAGGGCAUUCUAAUGAGACUGCCGGUGACAAACCGAGAGGAAGGGGGGGAGGAGUCAAGUCCUCAUGGCCCUUAUGGGUAGGGCUUCACACGUCAUACAAUGGUCGGGACAGAGGGUCGCCAACCCGCGAGGGGGAGCCAAUCCCAGAAACCCGAUCGUAGUCCGGAUCGUAGUCUGCAACUCGACUACGUGAAGUCGGAAUCGCUAGUAAUCGCGGAUCAGAAWGUCGCGGUGAAUACGUUCCCGGGUCUUGUACACACCGCCCGUCACACCAUGGGAGUGGGUUCUACCAGAAGUACUUAGCCUAACCGUAAGGAGGGCG